GACGAACGCUGGCGGCGUGCCUAAUACAUGCAAGUCGAGCGAGCUUGCCUAGAUGAUUUUAGUGCUUGCACUAAAUGAAACUAGAUACAAGCGAGCGGCGGACGGGUGAGUAACACGUGGGUAACCUGCCCAAGAGACUGGGAUAACAGUUAGAAAUGACUGCUAAUACCGCAUAAGCGCACAGUGCUGCAUGGCACAGUGUGAAAAACUCCGGUGGUAUGAGAUGGACCCGCGUCUGAUUAGCUAGUUGGUGGGGUAACGGCCUACCAAGGCGACGAUCAGUAGCCGGCCUGAGAGGGUGAACGGCCACAUUGGGACUGAGACACGGCCCAA
rnacentral:rRNA from 1 species